AUUGAACGCUGGCGACAGGCCUAACACAUGCAAGUCGAGCGAUCGGCGGACGGGUGAGUAAUGCCUGGGAAACUGCCCGAUGGAGGGGGAUAACUACUGGAAACGGUAGCUAAUACCGCAUAUCAUCAGACGUGCCCAGAUGGGUUUAGCUGGUAGGCGGGGUAACGGCUUACCUAGGCAACGAUCCCUAGCUGGUCUGAGAGGAUGACCAGCAACACUGGAACUGAGACACGGUCCGGACUCCUACGGGAGGCAGCAGUGGGGAAUAUUGCACAAUGGGCGCAAGCCUGAUGCAGCCAUGCCGCGUGUGUGAGGAGGGCCUUCGGGUUGUAAAGCACUUUCAGCGGGGAGGCGUUACCCGCAGAAAAAGCACCGGCUAACUCCGUGCCAGCAGCCGCGGUAAUUC
rnacentral:rRNA from 1 species